rnacentral:rRNA from 1 species
AGCAGCCGCGGUAAUUCCAGCUCCAAUAGCGUAUAUUAAAGUUGUUGCAGUUAAAAAGCUCGUAGUUGAAUUUCGGGGUCAGUAGGUUGGUCAUGCCACUGGUAUGUACUGGCCUCACUGAUUCCUCCUUCCUGAUGAGCCGUAAUGCCAUUAAUUUGGUGUUGCGAGGAAUCUGGACUGUUACUUUGAAAAAAUUAGAGUGUUUAAAGCAGGCUAACGCUUGAAUACAUUAGCAUGGAAUAAUGAAAUAGGACGUUCGAUCUUAUUUUGUUGGUUUCUAAGAUUGACGUAAUGAUUAAUAGGGAUAGUUGGGGGCAUUAGUAUUCAAUUGUCAGAGGUGAAAUUCUUGGAUUUAUUGAAGACUAACUACUGCGAAAGCAUUUGCCAAGGAUGUUUUCAUUAAUCAAGAACGAAAGUUAGGGGAUCGAAGACGAUCAGAUACCGUCGUAGUCUUAACCAUAAACUAUGCCGACUAGGGAUCGGAUGAUGUUAAUUUUUAAUGACUCAUUC